rnacentral:lncRNA from 1 species
UAUAGAUUGCAGGAACCAAAGAAAGGAAAAAUUGCUUCAUAAUGCUAUGGAGAUUCUGGGAUUUCCAAAAAAAAAUCUGGUGAGGAUGUGGCUGACAUCUCUUCAUGAAGCGGAGAAGCAUCAAUAUCUUAUUCAUAGAUCUCUCACUUUGCUGCCACAGUCCUGCCAUCAUUUCUGGACACAGAAGAAUGGAUCCCUUGAAAAUAUUUCUAACCGGACAGUACUAACCUUUCCUUGUUUUGAUCAUAUUUUUGAUUAGAAUCCAUUAGAUGUGACCUAUAUCAUCUGGGAGCUUAAGCAUAACCUGAUGGGAUGCUAUUAUAAGAUGUCAUAAUGUGCAUGUGCAUUACCUUGACUCAUGACAAAAAAGACAAGAUACAAUAAAUACAUAAAUAGCAGUAUAGAAUGUUACGGGUUUGUGAAAAAACAAACUGCAUGCAGUCCUGUCCAGACUUAUCCAGCCCUUUCCUGCAUCCACAAUGAGCAAAAGAAACAAGCCAGGAAAAUGGAAAAAUCAAAAUUUACUCUUAAGUAGCAGAGUAAAAAAACACAAAACCUCCAGCUUCAAAAUAAUUCAGUCUCUUUGAAGCAACAAAACUCACAUAAAGUUCCUUGUAUUAAACUCAUGUAUCUUCUUUAGAGAUUUCUUCAUAGUAGGCUCUCAGCAAGUUCUGAAGCAGGUGAUUCAGUAAGUCCCAAAAAACAUUACACUAUUCCCCCAAGUUAUACCCCAUUCAGGGAGUGGUUCAAGCUUGUUAGCCUUGAUUGUUCUAAUUACUCAACUAUGAGUUGUAAUUGACCAGGUGUUUUUCCCUUAACACAUACACAAGUAGUGAUCCCACAGAAACUUAGUCAAAUACAUGCAUAUACAGCAAUAUAGAAUGCAUUUUUCAGAGAUAAUAUUUUAAAGUGUGUGACCAGCCAAAAUUGUUUUGUGUAGUGAAAUAAUUAUCAGGAUUUAACUGACCAUAACAUGAAGCUACUACAAAUAACAAGGAGAAUUUCAAUGCUUGUUAAAAACCAUAUUUUGAAAAAAGUACCAUAGUGAUAAUCUGAAGCUCUCUCUUUCUAUUUCUGACUUUUAUCUUUAGUGAAAAGUAGAAAAUGCCAAUGCAUAUAUUUCAAUCUCAUUUUUUUAAAAAAGCUUCUCACUUCUAGGGUUUUGCUUCUUCACCUGCAAAAUUCAUCAUUAAAUAUUCUGCUAAGAUGUUUUUUAACUCCUUUCUACAUUUUCUUUUUUUUAUGAUUAAGGUCUGGAAUGGCUGGAGGUCAGAGCUGUUAAAGUACCUUGAGUGUUAGUUUCAUCUGUCAAGCCUUUAUUCCAAUUCUGUCAAUCUCUUUCAUCCAAUGUAUUGCUUGAGGGGAAAAAUAUCUUCACUUGAACAAAAUAAAAGGGCAAACUUUUGCUAUGAUCAUCAAUAAAUUAUCAAAGCUAGUGAAGAUUCUAUUGGUCUUCUUCAAAUCUAUCCAGAUUGACCAUUGGUUCUUUUCAAGAGCCAUUGUCCUUUGCUGAGGGAUUUUGUCUGAGGAACAAAGUCACCUUGUUUUGAUGUGUCGUCGAUUUGUCAUGUUCUUUAGUCUUGUUUCACCCUUUCUUUUGGCUCUGAUUUUUGAGUUGUUCUCUAGAACAGCUUUCUGGUUUGUUUUCUGAUCUUGGUUUUUUAGGGAGUGGACUGUUGUCUCUCCAUUCACUGCAUACCAUGGGCAGGACCUGCAAAUCUGUAUUGAUGAACAUAAAUUCAGGGUUUAACUUUUAUCUGGUGAAAGCAAAGUCUGAGAGAUGUUGGCUACACUGUACUGUAAGUGAAGGGUGCACACAACAAUUGUCUUUCUCCCAUCACCAUUUAAGGGCUUGAGAAGUUGACCUUGGUGUGCAUCACCCUGAUAUAGCUAUUAAACAUCAGGCACGAAGCAGGAACUCUGUAUUAGUACAGUCUUAUUCAGAUUAACGAAAACUACCCCUGAAUUGAUACUUCUUUUGAUGGUUCUCAAAUAUUAAUUUCAUUAAUUUUUACAGAUUUAUAUUUACUCACUCCCAUAAGCAGUACCUUAAGCAGAAGCAUUGAAUAUGAGUGUGCCGUCGCGCCUGGGGCUGUAAACUCUUAGUGAAAGAGGCAUGGACGUGACAUCUUUCCCCAGGGGAUUGCUUCUUGCCCUCCUUUAGGGAAACUGGAACUCCCAAGGACCAAAACACUGUAGUUAACUCAAAAACUGGGUUUAUUCUUCACAAAGGGGGUAAAAGAAAUUAUACAUUACAGUCUUUGGUUGUUUAAGUCCAUGAAGCUUGUCCAGAUCCCUCUUUCUCUGGCUGUGACUGCCGGAGCAAACUCAGCCUCAGUCCAAUGACCUAUAUCUGAAGACAAGAGUCUUCCUCUGUUGCCAAAGGACUGAUGUGAAGGCGCUUGAGACUCCUCAACGUUGUUCAGGUUGGCCCUGAACAUGAAGUGUGAGUCCCAAGGGUAAGAACCUCAGAAUUGGUGCUGAGAGGUAACUUUUGAAGGGCUUUUUGAGCCAAGCCUCUCUUUCACGUCCAUCCGAUAGAGAACUUGCUGAUGGAAUGAAAAGGAGGAAACACAGUCCUACUCCAGGAAGAGGUGGAGCCAAACAGUUUUGCUGAGUGAGCAAUGUAACAGGUACAAACAACAUUGAUUGACAGAUAUAAAUAACCAAUCCAACUACAUUUACAGGGUAAGGGCAAAAUCAGGCAUGAUACAACAAUUCAAAUCUUUGAAACUUAUAGUU